CGGGUGAGUAACACGUGGAUAACCUACCUAUAAGACUGGGAUAACUUCGGGAAACCGGAGCUAAUACCGGAUAAUAUUUUGAACAGCAUGGUUCAAAAGUGAAAGACGGUCUUGCUGUCACUUAUAGAUGGAUCCGCGCUGCAUUAGCUAGUUGGUAAGGUAACGGCUUACCAAGGCAACGACGCAUAGCCGACCUGAGAGGGUGAUCGGCCACACUGGAACUGAGACACGGUCCAG
rnacentral:rRNA from 1 species